CGGGCGUUUGUUCAUCGCCUCACCUGGGUUUUUAACCCUUCGCCCCCCCGCCCCUUGGUUUUGAGAGGUUUCUCUCCUCGAGCUGUUUUGGGUCAGGCAGUCUAACAAUAGGAGUGGCUCCCGGCCUACACGUCUCAGAGCUCCCAGGGCGCUGGACGGAAAAGCUUUGGACAUUAGCACUUCUACCUAAAUAAGUUAGUAGGCUUCUGAACCAGAGGACAUCUGCUAAGGACAGAGAGAACCCAUCUGUUCGAAACCCUGCGCCUUUAGAAACAGCAAGUUCCCAAGAUACAGAGAAACCUACCACGGUAGUCUCUUAAAUAAGUAAAUAAACAGCAUAUAUAUGUUUUGUUUUGUUUUUUUAAACUUCAAAGCAAAAGUUAUACAUAUAUAACAGCGUCCUUUCGACGUGAAAUACCCACGGGAGAUUCAGGACAGGCGCUCAGCGUGCAGUUCGGGUUCCGGAGGCAUCUCUGCAGUAAAAUUCUUGGGAAAAAGCAAAGCAAGGAGAACGUGGCGCUGGGUUGAGCCUCACCGCGGGCCCCUUUGAUAGCGGCCGGAGGGCGCCAGUGGAGCCAGGCCGGCCGCCGGGCGGAAACGCGCAACCCGAGCCCGCGGGUCCCUGGCCACCUGGUUUCGGAAGCGCUGGGUUUGCGUGGUCUCUCAUCCUCCCUUCCUAUUCCAUUUUGUGUUGUUUUAAUAGUGGAUUCUGUUUCCGAGUGUGCUGGAUGGGCAGCUCAGAUGUCGCACUCGCUGUCGCUGGACGUGAUGGAGAUGGCCGAAGUGGCGGCCUUGCUGGAUAGGCUGGCGGCCGGGCUGGCUGCGGCGCCCAGCACCUCGGGCGUGCCCUCUUCCUCAGCCCUUAGAGCCCGCCCGGAGCCCUGCGACAUGACCUGCUGCUGGAGUCUAUGGGAAGGAAAGGGACACCAGUCACAGCGCGUAACAUAGCCUCCCCUUGCGCCCCCCUGCCCCCCCCUCCCCCGCUUUGCUUCCCUUAAGCCCAGAGGCUAGCGGAUCUCCCACAGACCCCGGCAGUUAAAGUAGGAAAAGUGAGGCAACGGAAGCCAGGAAGGAUUCCACAGCUGGCCGCCUCUCCAAGUAGCCCAGCAGUUGUCCCAUCCUUCUUCUGAAUCCUUUCUGGGCUCCCCAUCUGAGAUGCUGGGCUCACAGCCUUGGUUUUAUGACUGGAACCAGCGGCUGGGGCGACCCCCUAAGUUCCAAGAAUGAGGGAGAGAAUGGAGAACCAAGAGCCCGGAAGGAACUCCCCCCGCCCCCCGCCCCCCUUACCCGCCCAGGAUCCCAGAACGCAGUGGGCUCAUAACUGAAGACAGACUGAGCUCUCAACUCCUUCGGAUCCAAGUCGCUGGGCCCUGGGAAAGGGCCCCUGGGGCGCCUUCGCCCGACCCACCAGAGUGAGCGCAAGGAGCGUAGGCCUCUAGGUACCGACCUGUUCUUGGCUGCAGCCGCCCGGUCCCUUUGUCGGCGGUUUUUGAACCAGUUGCCCACCUGCGUAGGGGUCAGUCCGGUUGCCUGGGCGAGCUCACGCUUUUUGCUGGGGUUAGGGUAUGGGUCCUGCAGAUACCAUUCCCGUAGCAGAUGCCUCGUGCGCUCCUUGAAGCAGUGUGUCUUCUGUUCGCCGUCCCAAAUGGUGCGCGGCAGCGGGAACUUCUUCCUCACGCGGUACUUGUCCACCGGCCCCAGGGGCCGUCCACGCAGCUUCUCAGCCUCCUGGUAAUGCGCUUCGAGCCACAGCGCCUGCAGCUUGGCGUGCGACUCCUUGGUGAACUUGUGGUUUUCCAGGAUAUGAUAGAGCUCGCGGUAGUUGCCGCCGUGAAAGGCCACGAUGGCUCGCGCGCGCAGCACCGAUUCAUUCUUGUUGAGGGCCUCACAGGCCGCAGGGGCCACGGGCAGCGACCAGAGGAAGCGACCCAGGCGCUCUACGUCGCCGCUCUCCUCCAGAGUCUCGCAUACCCCGGCCACUUGCUGGGGACUGAAAUUCAAGAUGGGCAACUGGAACAUCGAGGCAGCGCCGACUGCAGCGGGGGCGCGGAGAGCGGAACCGGACACGCAGCAGAUGUCGGCGGGCCUGGCGGGGUGCGCCAGGCUCUCCUCGGUGAAGCGGCUUAGGGCAGCCGGGACGCACGACCCGGGCAGCGCGGCGGCGCAACGGCUGGGAGCGAGCGAGCAGGAGGGAUUGGAGGAGGUGCCGGCCCCGCCGCCCGGGUUCGGCUCGGCUCCGUUAGGGCACGCAGGCCGGCGAACUGGCGCCGCUACUGGAAUGGGCGGAUUGGCGGCGCGGGCGCCAUGGAGACCCCCUGUCAGUCACUGGCUCUCUCUGCCAAUCAAGACUGCGACCAGCGCGCCCGGGUCAUUUCAGCACCUCCCCGCUCUCGACAGCGCCCGCCGUUUACCCGUGGACUUUUCCUCAGUAUUUUGCAGAAUCUGGAGGAGGAAAACACUGGAGAGUGGCUGGGAGAAAGGGGAAGGCAAGAACAGCAGCCUUUCAAUACCCUCAUCCAGCCUUGUUCCUCCACCCCCGCCCCCACCCUUGCCAAAAGAGGCAGUGGUGCUACAGGAAUCCACUUUGGAGUGAUGCGCUGCCUGGGUCAAGAGGUCUCCAGAGGACAAUGAGGACUGGGCCAAAUCGAAAUCCUCCAAGAAUUCGCCAAGUUUAAUUCUGCAAAGCAGCCGAGUGGGAAGCGAAUCUGAAGCAGAAGGAACGGGACCAGGGAUCUGUUAAGAGGUCAGUUUGGGCUAUCCCCACCAUCUUCAAAAGCCUCCUGAAAUCAUUUUAAAUACGAGCUAGAACAACUGCCACACCUGAUAACACAGGUGUUGACCAUGAAGUCAAACACUCAAGAAAGGGAGUUGCACCUCCCCAAAAGUUUAUACUUUUCAGCAGUAACCCCCCUCCCCAGUUUAAUGGACUUCAACAAAUGUGCAGCCUAGCCACAUCUAGAGUGAGAAGUCACGGGUAGGUCAGGACAGCAACUUAAAAGCUUAUUUCAAAGAUCUUUUUUAAAAAAUAUUGAUUUGCUCUUCUUGCAGGCUGAUUUUGCCCUACCCUGUGUUAGAACAUUUAACUCGAGCUGAGCUGGGAAUAGAAACUGUAACCUUGGCCUUUUUGCCCCAGAGGAAUUCAGUACAAGAAGAGAAAGGGGAAUCACAGAAAUGGGGGUGGUGGUGGAGCAGAAAACCCUUUCUAAGCUGCUGAGCACUGACCCCUCCUGCAGAGAGGAAGAGCCUUCUAGGCAGCUCUGCCUUAGGGCCAGCAGAUUGAAUUGGCAACUUUUAUUGAUUCCCAAUUGACAUCCACAUCAUACCAUUUUCUGAGGUCUCUGUCAAAAGAAACCAUGAUCUCACCUGGGCCUUUGAUAGGGGCUUGUUUAGUGUGAAGAAAAUAAUUGGGAGAGGGGAGUCCUUCGAAAAUGCCUGGAAAACUAUCGUUGGGUCCAUCCCUAAAGGAAUCAGAUGGGAAUAUUCACCUCCGAACUGGACUGGACCCGGCUGUCUUUUCUUUAGUAUCAAGUACAAUUUGUAUGCGGCUUGUACAGCUCUGGUAAAUCAGAAGGCAGAUAGAUAGCACAGAUGGUUGGAGGUGUCAGGUCAGAUUAUGCUACGCCUGAGUGCAGGGCAAAGCUCGUUCUGACGGAAAACCCUGAUAUUAUUUUCACAGAUCUUCACAGUUCACUCGAAAAAAAUAGCCUAGGUUGGGGGGGGGGGGGGAGGAGGAAGCCCUGCAACCAUUUACAUCAUUUCUGUGAGAUUGCUAGCCGCCUGGAUGCAGAGGCUUUCUUUUCUAAGAGUUCAUUUUCUUGAAAUGCGACAGGGCAGGGGCAAAAUACAGAGGGCGGUGAGUAUGUCAAAGCACAAAUCUUCCCUAGCUUGGGGCGAUUUCCAAAUUCGCAGAAGAAACAACUUUUAGUGGAAACAUCGAACACAAGUGCCCAAAAUACAUAGUAUAGAAAACCCGGGCCUUGGGGAUCGGGCAAGGGUGAAGCGGAAUCCAGGAAGGCGGUGGUUCCCGGCACUUCUGGCCAGGGAAGGAAAGAAUCGCCUCCCUCCAGUUUGCGGAAGUUUCUUAUUUUUCCCUCUCGGGGUGUCUCCCCUGCCGGCUCCCCUUAGCAGAAUGGCUUCACGCUCACCUUCCACGCGGAAGAAGCCGAAAGUCUGGGACACCCUACAGCCCCGAACCCAGAGAGGACCCCAACACCUGCACUUAGCCGCUGGAGGUGAGAAGUUGCCGGUACCCCCAGGGGACCUCGCCUCCCCCGCCCUUUUGCUGAACAGUUUGAAAACUGCGAAUUCGGGGGGGAAACUGGCUUCUUAUCCUUAGUUUUCUUGAGCAAGUUGUGUUAAUUUUCCAAGUCUACCCUCCCUCUCCAGGAAAUGGGAAUAUCCCGUUUCUUGGACAACGGUUCUGCAAAUAUUGGGGGAGAGGGCGCGUUGGCUUCCGUGCGUUUGGGGCUCUCGGGCAACCGGGACCAAAAUCUUAGGUUGGCUGCACUGGAACGGAGGAAAAAGGGCGCUGGCCAGGGGUUGCAAAGUCCCAGUUCCUCCAAGACUCCGUGUCUGGACGCUAGGCGUUCGGGGUAUGAGAAGUGUCUAGAGGCCGGGGUCUACAGUCAGAAGAGCCUACCUUCGCCAUCCCAGGGGAUUUGGUUUAAUUUUAUUACCUCAAACGAAUAAACUACCUCUGGGAAAGUUGGGAUCACGUAUUCAUUCAUCACAAACAGAAGAAAUACAUACUCCCCCACACAUCCCAAUCCCUGAUAAUGAAAAAAGCUCCGCCGGGUUCCUUAAAAAUAAUCCCGUUGUGGACAAGGCAGUGACCACCCCCCCCCCCCCCACCUUAAAGCGCCAGGUGAAAGUUGUACCUUAGGGUUGACUGCUUAAUUUUACGGAAAGAUAGAUUUUUACCAGUUUUGAAACUUUGCACCAACCAUCCGGGCAACCGCCUGCUUGCCACCCCCAACUUUAUUUUUCUUUUGCGUUUGACCAGGAAACCUAGAAAGCUCAGCGGCCGCCCCUGGCGUCGGGCCUAUCUGGGCAGAUUUGCAACUUUCUGUGGUUGGUUUGCAUCUAGUAGAUUUGGGAGGCCUUGGGCAGAUGCUAGGUUCUCGCUGGGAAUCCAAAGAUUCUAUUCCGCUUUCUGAAGACUCAGUUUUACUUCACAAGGGAAAAAUAUGGAGAAAAAAGCUUGUAGAAGACAAUGCCCCUGGGCAGAUUCUGUGUUUAAUUAUUCAGUGCGGCAGCAGCAGAGCAAAGUACUCACCCCGCACCACCCCCGGAGGUUGUGAGGUUCAUACCAGAGAUCUUCAGAGUUCCGUCUGGGAUUUCUUGUGCUCAUCGAUCUCACCCCUCGUUUUGCUCUUUCUGAUUUUCCUCUAGAGUAGAGACACACGUGGAGCCCCCGUUACACCUUGCUGAAUGGUUUGCCAGCUGAGAGCGCUGCUUAGAGGUCAAUACAGUCUUAUCUCUUGUUUUGUCUGUUGUCCUGUUUUGUCUUUGACUUUUUCCUAAAUCAAACACAUGUAAAAUAAGUGGUAUAUUUUCGUUUUCUUUCCUACAUAAUUUCACAUAGUCAGGGAUUUGAAGAAUGUAGUCAUUGAGGCAUCUGAAUUCCUUGAUAAAGACAUUUGUGCUGCAUGUGAGAGUCAUAGACUGAAAGACAAUGAGGUCCUAGCCUUUUGUGUAAGUUCAUUUUGACUUUUGGGGGAGAGAUCUUGGUUUCCCUUUCCUUGGCCUCAAAGCUGUGUGUUGCUGGUGGGUGAGAAUAACAUAAAAAAGGAUCUGGGAAAUGUAUCCAUGGUUUAUUUUUAAGAUCUAGAAAGUUUAAAAAAGCAUUUUACUGUCUUUGAAUUUACAGUAUUAAAUUCACUUUCAAACAUUUAUUCAUAUAUUUAGUAUUGUGAUUUUCAGAUGAUACCAUAUGCAUAAUAUAGAAAUGUUUGUUUCUGUAUUUGGUUGUCUAAAUCUUUAGAUUUUAGAAUUAAUUCAAUAUCCUACUUUUAAAGUGCUUACUGUCCUAAUAAGAUCCCAAGGUAGAUUGUGCUAUUUCAUGCAUUCUUCCCCUGCCAGUAUGCACCUUGUAACAAAGAACAGAGAUGCCUCUUUAUUGUGUAUUCUUGAGAACAAACACCAUUUAAGAACUAUUUUGUAGAUUUCCUGGCACUGUGAGAUUGACUGGCAAAAAUUAUUACAAUUCAAUAAUUUAAGAGAUUGAAGUAUAUUUGUUGUUAUUUGCAAAAUUAUUCACCAAUUAUUUUUUAAAUGACGUAAAAUUGCAUAUGUUGUCAAGUGGAGGGAAUUUGUAUAAGUUUAAAUGUGGGAAAAUGUACCAUUUGAAAGUGGUUAUUAAUUAGCAGUAAUGUGUUUUUUAAAAAAUGUUAGGCUGACUAUACAACUCUGUUUCGACUUCUAGUUUGUGGUUAAUCCUAGGCAUUUGUAUUUAAACCAAAGGGUAUAUUUCAAGGCCUAUUUCUUGUUUAAACUAUGCUCUUAAAUUCACUUUUCUCUUUCUUCUGCUUCUGUGGCAUAAGUCUAAAUCUGCAUGGGACUAACUAUACCACAGCAUAGCUUGCUUAAGACUAUAUAUCAAUGGGCUCUUGUAUGAAGGAUUAAUGCUUUAAAAUGUAACCCGCAUGUCACUAAUAAACACUUUAUUAGUAAUGAAAAUUA